CCUACGGGAGGCAGCAGCUAAGAAUAUUCCGCAAUGGACGAAAGUCUGACGGAGCGACGCCGCGUGGAUGACGAAGGCCGAAAGGUUGUAAAAUCCUUUUGUUGGGGAAGAAUAAGGCUGGGAGGGAAUGCCCGGUCGAUGACAUGAACCGACGAAUAAGCCCCGGCUAACUACGUGCCAGCAGCCGCGGUAAUACGUAGGUGGCAAGCGUUGUCCGGAAUUACUGGGCGUAAAGGGCAUGUAGGCGGCUUGGUAAGCCUGGCGUGAAAGUCCACAGCUUAACUGUGGGACAGCGCUGGGAACUGCUGAGCUUGAGUUAUGGAGAGGGAGCUGGAAUUCCUGGUGUAGGGGUGAAAUCUGUAGAGAUCAGGAAGAACACCGAUGGCGAAGGCAAGCUCCUGGCCAAUGACUGACGCUGAGGUGCGAAAGUGUGGGGAUCAAACAGGAUUAGAUACCCUGGUAGUCCACGCGGUAAACGAUGUGCACUAGGUGCCGGGACGGUAGUUUCGGUGCCGGAGCGAACGCGGUAAGUGCACCGCCUGGGGAGUAUGCUCGCAAGGGUGAAACUCAAAGGAAUUGACGG
rnacentral:rRNA from 1 species